GCGUCUGAAUACUUUUGUCCAUAUAAUGUAUAUUUUCUCACCUGCCUGUUCCCGAGGUGAUCUGUAUCUACCUUUUUGGGAACGCAAGCAAUCCUCUAGCUUGGUUUUGUGGACACUGUAGAGCACACAUCGAUUCUGCACGCUUUUUAUAGUACUACUACUUUCUAAUCCAGUGGGUGGCACAUUGUUGUUUUGGUCAAGAGCCAAAGUAGUAGUAGUAACCGUGGACACUUGCCGCAAGGAGGUCCACCGUUCACAAAUCAGUGCAAAUACAAGUACAUCAACUCCUGGUGAGGAAUCACCAUUACUAGAAUGGAAUGUGAGAUUAAGUAGAUCUCAAUGAAGUGACUGACAUGGAGUCUUGUUUGGUAUGAACCAAGCUGUGGGCAUGAGAAUUAGUUUGGAAUGUGGAAAGAAAUGACCCGGCUCUCGCUGAUCAAAACCUACUAAUCAAGUAAAGUUAAUCAUUUUGAUUUGCAAUUUGCUGUUGUGCAUCAGAGAAUGUACUGUAAGUGCACAGCUACUUUGCAAAGCAUAGUAAUUAACUUGGCAGUUCUCUGUCACUCCCAUGACUCCAUGAGUCUUUGUAUUUUGAGGAGCGUGGCGUUGUUUUUCUAUGCAAGGUCUUGUCUCGCUCAAAGCUGGAAAAAGAAAGCUUCUGUCAAUACAUGAUUAUUUAUAGGUUGCCUAGCAACUGGCAGCUUCUCAUAACAGGAAUCCUACCGGAGGACACUGUUGCUCUUGGUUCUGACUGAAUGUUGCGACAACUGCCUAUGUUUCAGAGGAGGGUCUGCGGCUGUUUGUCGGUCCUGGUGGGAGUACGGCCCUUGGAAGCCAUCACCUCCCCACCAGGGUUGGUGCCGGAGCGUAUGAACAGGUGGUGAUAAAGCGUUAAGACCUGUGCUGCUUACACCCAAAAAAAGGAGACAGGACUGUGUUCAUUCCAGGCAUGGGACAAUAUGAAAAUUUCAUGUCAGUUAUCCUAACCAAAAUAAUUACAAUUUACAUGAUUGUGAUACAUUUAAAUGACCCUAACACACACACACACAAAGAAAUAAUUUUAAGGGGCUUUUUUGCAUUACAGGUGAGAUAGGGACGUUUUUAAAAGUGAAACAUGAUCUUAAUUUUAAAUAAGACCGUUUUAAAUGGUGCAGUCCCCUUUGUUGAGCUAAAAACAAAUCACUAGAACUGUUUGUUGGCAACGUUUACAGCAUUUGCAAGUCACAAAUGUGAGAUACUAGCUAUUUCCCUCCCAUAUAUGAUUAUACCUAAUCUGAUUAUGGAAAUCAUUGUGCUAUUGAGAGUGAUUUUUUUAUUGCAAUGAGGAAAUAGUAUAUUGCUCAGUCCCGAAUUCAUUCCAUUCUCCAGUCCAAGCAGCACUGUGUCACUCAGUGAAACCAACAUCACAACAGUGCCCCCAUGUGCUCACAUCAGCAACGUGACACAGUAGCUACAUUUCUAACAGCUGUGAUAUGUGAAGGCAAAUGAAACACUGACAGAUUAUUCAAGAACUUUCAUGUUCAUGUAACAAAAACAGCCCAUUCCUCACUUCCUGUUUUCAGAGUCAACUGUGUUGCCCCAACUUAUUAUAAAGGUGUUGAUAAAUGACCAACCUUUAAAUUCUAAUGGAGGACAGAAGGCAAUCUACACUUAAAAAGUAUGUCCUGGGUUUGAUACAUUCCUUUUUGUCACCUUUUUUGUAUUCCUUCCUACAAAUAGGACAUUGUAUUUAAUAUUUGCCUGUAAGCUGCAGUUAUUGGCGUCUUGAAGGUGAGAAUAUUUUACUACAAAUAUGAGGUGCAAGAUUUGAGCCAUUGGCCGUGUGAAUGUUGUGUAUGCGUGUGGUCAUGUGUCUGCUAUGUGAUGAGACUUUUGGUCACUAGUACCAGUUAUAUCCUGUUGUCUUGAACGAGUGGGGGGAGCUAUUUGACCCUACAAAGGCAAAAUGCAGUGAAACUCACUUGAGAUUAAAAUGUUUGCCCUACAAUGAAAAGAAAUACUGAAAAAUAACAACUUUUAUGUAUGCAGUUACUACAAACCUGAUAGUCAAACUGUAGCCUGUAAUUGUCUCUGAAACACUCUUAGUGUCCUGAUUAGUUAUCAAUACAUAAAGUUGUCUGGGAGGGAAAAAAAGGAGAACAAAUCAUGAUGAAUAAUUUAAAUUUAGAACUACGGUUCACUUUAAGUGUUUCCCCAACAGAUGAUUCAGACAUAUGGCGCUUUUCCACAAUGCAUACAUGUCCCACGACUUGACUCACGACUGUUGUUGUUUCUUUGCUUUUCCAUUAGUGAUAGUACCUGGUACUUUUUUAGCACCUGCUCUGGUGAGGUUCCAAGCAAGCCGUAUUUUAUCUCAGUGACUGUGUCAGGAGGAGUCUGUGCUCUGGUCAUGCUGGAAGUACUGAAUUAAUAAUCUUAUUAAUUCAAUUAAUUCUAAUGAUUCAGUACACUGAAAACAACUGCUUUUGCUCGUCGCUAGUCUGUGUCAUGUACAAAACGACAUAACCACAGUUUCCUGCAGCCGUGGUAUGAUGUCUCCAUAACCAUGCUACAACUGUAUAGUGGAAAAGCAAUCUGUCAGCAAUCUCUCUUCCACUGGAUUUCAUCAUCAUCAUCAUCAUCAUCGUCCCCCAGACAACCUUAUUUAAUGAUGACUUUCCGGAUCACGAUCUGGGCUUAUUGAUUUUGUAACUGACUGCUUAUUUGUCUCUGUAGGCUAGAAUGUGCGAUUAGAAGAGGCGUUCAUUUGAUAAAUAUGCUAUGAAAGGCAUAUAUAGGCAUACUGUAUAUCUAAUUCCCAGUGUUUCAGGUGUGCAUCUGUUCAACACCUAUGCUUUGCAAAAUGUUCAAUCUCUCCGAGCUCACCAAGCUCCAGUAUUGCACCUGGCACCUAAUGCUGAUAUAAACUGUAGUAUAGACAGUACAAUGAAGGACGCGUCAAAGUUACCCACUGCCAAGAAGAAAAUAUGCAGUAAUCCUGAGACUGCAUACAUGCAUCUCCUAGCGACAUAUCAACUGUUGGCUCGAGCAAUCUCAUCAGUUAGUGCUUUAGAAUGAAUUAAUGCAGCAAUGUCAAAUUUGCUAAAUACUACUUUGAAGGAGAUUAAGUGCACAGUCUGUCCAACAUCAAAUUAGUCAAAGUACUCAUCAUGCUGAUGUUACCCGGAACUGUGUCAGGCCUAUGCAUAAACUAAUGACAGUAUAAGAUGCAUAACAACUAGUGAACGGAGUGUGCAGCGUGUAUAAUGUUCCGUCUCCUGUCAUUUAUCACAGUAUUAUAUCAUGCUAUAUCAAGCGUCAUCAGUGUAUGGUACUUUAACUAUACGUCAGUGUUCAGUUUUCACGUUCUCGUGUUCUGCAUGAUUUAACACAUCAUCUUUUUUCUUUUCUUUUUUCAUACUGUGCCAUGUGUUAAACUUUACCUUUCUACACAGAAGACACCGCUUCGUUUGCCUCUUUCGCAUGAAGGCAGUCAUUUUCUUCUCAUUGCUUGCUGUUCGAAGACGAUAUCUGCACAUUAUGUCGGUGUGUAAUUGUAAAUCAGUGUUCUCAUUUUAUGUGCGUGUGUGUUGUUGUUGUUGUUGUUUUUUUUAUGUUCAGCAUGGUUUUAAUGUCCCUGUGCUGAAAGUCAUAUUUCAUUGCUGAUGUUGUGCCAUAUUUUUGCUAAACAUUUUAUUUGGGGCGGGGGGAUAAACCAUCCCCCAGACAUAGCUAAGACAGUGUUACAUGUAAAAAAAUAUAUAUAUAUAUAGUUACCAAUUAUAAACUAGAUUUUUUUUUGUCCUUUUUUGUCUUUUUGGAUCAAAGUUACUUAUGCCUGUGUGAAACAGGUAUAUUCAUCUUGGUACCUAACAUGUUGUUACAAACAUGGUUGCUUCUUCUCUUCUGUGAAGCUGUUGUCUGUAUAAAACUGUAAAAUGUAUUAUUCUCCUGUAGAGUGAUGUUCUGCGCUGUUCUGACACUGUCCAGUAUUUCCUGUUAGAGACUUGUAUUUUUUUGACCAAUGUUUGCUUCCUUAACAAGUGUGCUGGAUGCUUCAAAUGUGUACCAUGCACUGAAUAAAACUGUUCAAAAGCC